GAUGAAGAACGCAGCGAAAUGCGAUAAGUAAUGUGAAUUGCAGAAUUCAGUGAAUCAUCGAAUCUUUGAACGCACAUUGCGCCCGCCAGUAUUCUGGCGGGCAUGCCUGUUCGAGCGUCAUUUCAACCAUCAAGCCCCCGGCUUGUGUUGGGGACCUGCGGCUGCCGCAGGCCCUGAAAAGCAGUGGCGGGCUCGCUGUCACACCGAGCGUAGUAGCAUACAUCUCGCUCUGGGCGUGCUGCGGGUUCCGGCCGUUAAACCACCUUCAUAACCCAAGGUUGACCUCGGAUCAGGUAGGAAGACCCGCUGAACUUAAGCAUAUCAAUAAGCGAGGA
rnacentral:misc_RNA from 1 species